ACGCUGGCGGCGUGCCUAAUACAUGCAAGUAGAACGCUGAAGGAGGAGCUUGCUUCUCUGGAUGAGUUGCGAACGGGUGAGUAACGCGUAGGUAACCUGCCUGGUAGCGGGGGAUAACUAUUGGAAACGAUAGCUAAUACCGCAUAACAGUAGAUGUUGCAUGACAUUUGCUUAAAAGGUGCAAUUGCAUCACUACCAGAUGGACCUGCGUUGUAUUAGCUAGUUGGUGGGGUAACGGCUCGCCAAGGCGACGAUACAUAGCCGACCUGAGAGGGUGAUCGGCCACACUGGGACUGAGACACGGCCCAGACUCCUACGGGAGGCAGCAGUAGGGAAUCUUCGGCAAUGGACGGAAGUCUGACCGAGCAACGCCGCGUGAGUGAAGAAGGUUUUCGGAUCGUAAAGCUCUGUUGUAAGAGAAGAACAGGUGUGAGAGUGGAAAGUUCACACUGUGACGGUAUCUUACCAGAAAGGGACGGCUAACUACGUGCCAGCAGCCGCGGUAAUACGUAGGUCCCGAGCGUUGUCCGGAUUUAUUGGGCGUAAAGCGAGCGCAGGCGGUUAGAUAAGUCUGAAGUUAAAGGCUGUGGCUUAACCAUAGUACGCUUUGGAAACUGUUUAACUUGAGUGCAAGAGGGGAGAGUGGAAUUCCAUGUGUAGCGGUGAAAUGCGUAGAUAUAUGGAGGAACACCGGUGGCGAAAGCGGCUCUCUGGCUUGUAACUGACGCUGAGGCUCGAAAGCGUGGGGAGCAAACAGGAUUAGAUACCCCUGGUAGUCCACGCCGUAAACGAUGAGUGCUAGGUGUUAGACCCUUUCCGGGGUUUAGUGCCGCAGCUAACGCAUUAAGCACUCCGCCUGGGGAGUACGACCGCAAGGUUGAAACUCAAAGGAAUUGACG
rnacentral:rRNA from 1 species